rnacentral:rRNA from 1 species
AUUGAACGCUGGCGGCAGGCCUAACACAUGCAAGUCGAGCGAGCGGCGGACGGGUGAGUAAUGUCUGGGAAACUGCCUGAUGGAGGGGGAUAACUACUGGAAACGGUAGCUAAUACCGCAUACCAUCAGAGGUGCCCAGAUGGGAUUAGCUCGUAGGUGGGGUAACGGCUCACCUAAGCGACCAUCCCUAGCUGGUCUGAGAGGAUGACCAGCCACACUGGAACUGAGACACGGUCCAGAGUCCUACGGGAGGCAGCAGUGGGGAAUAUGGCACAAUGGGCGCAAGCCGGAUGCAGCCAUGCCGCAGGUGUGAAGAAGGCCUUCGGGUUGUAAAGCACUUUAAGCGGUGAGGCGUUACCCGCAGAAGAAGCACCGGCUAACUCCGUGCCAGCAGCCGCGGUAAUUC